GACGAACGCUGGCGGCGUGCUUAACACAUGCAAGUCGAACGGAAAGGCCCUGCUUUUGUGGGGUGCUCGAGUGGCGAACGGGUGAGUAACACGUGAGUAACCUGCCCUUGACUUUGGGAUAACUUUAGGAAACUGGGGCUAAUACCGGAUAGGAGCUCCUGCUGCAUGGGGGGGGUUGGAAAGUUUCGGCGGUUGGGGAUGGACUCGCGGCUUAUCAGCUUGUUGGUGGGGUAGUGGCUUACCAAGGCUUUGACGGGUAGCCGGCCUGAGAGGGUGACCGGCCACAUUGGGACUGAGAUACGGCCCAGACUCCUACGGGAGGCAGCAGUGGGGAAUAUUGCACAAUGGGCGGAAGCCUGAUGCAGCAACGCCGCGUGCGGGAUGACGGCCUUCGGGUUGUAAACCGCUUUCGCCUGUGACGAAGCGUGAGUGACGGUAAUGGGUAAAGAAGCACCGGCUAACUACGUG
rnacentral:rRNA from 1 species